GUUGAAACGUCUAGACAGCAAGUUAAGGCGAUCAUUGGAGUGCUUCUUGUCGGAGUCUAUUCCAGUGAUGGAUCAUAUAUCUGCUUAAGCAUGCUCAGUGCAGCAUCACCUUGAAGUACAAAUAAAGCGUGAAGUGAGGGAGGUCCAACCUCUUCUUUCAUGGUCUAUAUGUCACGCAUUUCACCUACGAAGAGCUCAUGUUUUCUGCGUUUCCCGAAGCGCUACAACUUAAGACACUUGUCAAUACGCUUUUCAGCCCUUUCAGUAGAAAUUUGGCUCAAUGUAUAGGUCGAGGCGCCUAAUUUAUGAACUAGUCACAACCUAGCGCCUUAAAUUUUGAAUUUAAUGGCUAUAGCAUGCAGCUUUAAGUAUUUGGUAAAUUACCUACAGGAUAAGUCCUCUCGGAAGACACGUCCAGGACGUCACUAUCGUAGAAUUUUAAGUUGCUAUUAUCCGUUUGCCUUUUUACGGCACCUGCAACAACUUGCAAUAAUCGCAAGUUGAGCUGAAGAAACAAUAUUUCAAAAAAGACUUCAUCAGCACUCUCCACAACAAAGACCACGUCAUGCAGACGGCCGCAAAAUAUUUCAAUUACAGCAUUUCCAUAGCACCAGGCGCCGGAAGUGGAGGGAUUGACAAAUAAAAAAAAACUUGAGGGAUAUCACAGGUUGCUGUUCAUAACCAGCUAUCCUGUAAGACUGUAAAUCAAUGUGAUCCGCAGAAUCUUUCAAGAACAAUCAACCUAGCAAAUCAAAACAGGUAUUAUGUGAAUAUCAUUACACAAUAGUAGGUGCUAACGAAUUUUGGUCCCACUUUGAUGGCACAGCACUGAAUCAUGACGACUAGAAGUUCAUGCUUGAGACCACCGCUAAUUAGACGGGGCUUACCAAUGCUUUCAACGACAUGUCCGGAGUGGUGCAUAGGCCAUGCUCUAGAACGAGUGUUGAUCUAGAAGUUGAAGUCACCUGAUCGAAAAGGCUGCAAAUUCUAUUUCUAAUCCUUCCCCUUCCUAACCCAAGCUGAACAUGCCCUUGUCACAGCUGCUUAUGUCAGAUUCGAUUCUGUUCAAUUCAGACCAGCCAUAAAUCUGGUAGCAACUUGCCAUGGCUUACCAUUAAUCGCCCUAGACAAUCUCUGGAGAUUGCAGCUGGGAAUCGAGGCGCAAUGUUAAAAUGAACAGAGCUAGAGCGUGCGUUGCUUCCCCUCGCAAAUUGCAUAGACCUCGAGCCAGAUGAAUUAGGGCGGAUUGACAUUAUUACCGUUGACUACAUCGACAUAUUAGACACAUCCAUAAACAACUGCAGCAAUGUGAUAGCUGAGAACACAGAGUGAGGUCUUGUAAGAAUUAACACCACAGCUAUAGAAGUAUGAGAUGUGAUAUUCGAGGGGCAACCUUAUCUCCAGGGGAUUUUGAUUGCUUAUUUGUGUUGGGAGCCGUGAGCUGCCGAUUGUGAUGGAAUCGAUGUUGUCCCCGUCGUCCACUAUUGUGACCAUGGUUUUUUCGUUCACACGGGACAUUAGCUUUCGCAAUUUCGAGUUUCGAUGCAGUGCCCUGAGUUGUGAGCUGGCUCUCUCGAACUCUCUGCCCCUCGUUCCCCUCCAAGGUCAUCCAGCAUUCCUCAGCGAUUUUUUCAACUACUGUCUUCCCUUUUCAGAGCUUGCUACUUUGCUCUGCUCGCACCCGCCCCUCUCGUGCCUCCCGAUUAAAAGACAUAUCCUACAGAUAGAACACGUUUGGUAGCCACAUGUCUGUUGCGUCCGGGUGCACUGUUGUGCCCGCAACACUCGAAGAAGCCGCUUCUUUGCAGCGUCACACGAGACCUUGGAUUGUUUCGCAUUUCAAUUUCAAGUUCUCGACGCUGUACGCAGUGUCGCAGAACUACGUCAUCCUAUUGAGAGCUAGGGGAUAUAAACAAUAACAUGGCAGCUGUGAUGCACUCCACCAGAAUUGAUGUUUGUUUGAUUUGUGCUAAAGAUACUUCCCUUGCUUCAGCGUCUCGUGGGAGCUCUUAAGCGCACAUGGCUGAGGGGGGAGAGACUUCACUGUUGGUAACGUUUUGAAAACCAAAGCAAGCCGAGUUAGUAUUUUUCUUGAAGGUACUGCGUUUAUGGCGUCGUUGCUGCACUAAUGUCUAGCUGCAACAUGAGGUUAUUCCUUGGAACCAGCGACGAUUUUCUUCACAAAAUUUAGUUACGCUGGUAGACGUGUUUCAGGGUUGUGUUGGAUCUUCAUGUGAGCACUUUCAUAAGUAGAUAAGAAUGCAUUCCUUAAUAUAAAUACAAGCUUUAAAGACUUGACAACAUGGUAUGGGAGGUUCAUCUCACCACAAAGACCUUGGAUUUGAACUUGGGUGACAAUAAUAGAGUUAGUUUUGUCAUGUAUAUUAUUCAAAUAUAUUAAUACUGUCUUUAUGUACA